AAAAAAAUUAGUCUAAAUUUAUUCUUUAAUAAUAUGGGGCUACAACUUUAACUCAUAAUGGUUGGAGUAAAAAAAAAACUGUUUCUAGGUUAAAACCUAAAUUUUCUGGGCUAAAAAUUUUAGGUUUUAACCCAAGGGUUAGAGAUAGUCUUAGGGUAAAACACGAGCUACCCACAAUUACUCAUUUAGUCUUUAUUUAUUGAAUGAAAUAUUGAGUUUAAAUCUCAUAAAUGACAAUUGUUCAUUGAGAAAUACACGAUCCAAUAUACAUUGAGUCCUAUAACGCAUCGGCUAAAUUUUACAUGUCUUCAAACCCCAAUCGCUCUCGGAGAUAUAAUAUUGUAAUAAUAUUAGUUAUUUCGA
rnacentral:lncRNA from 1 species